rnacentral:tRNA from 2 species
GGAUAGGUGGCAGAGCGGUUGAAUGCACCGGUCUUGAAAACCGGCGAUCCUUCGCGGGAUCCGUGGGUUCGAAUCCCACCCUAUCCGCCA